UUGUACAGAGUCAAAGACCUCCUAAGUGAAGAGGCAAUUGGUAGAUCAAAGGGAUAAGCAACCUAUCCCCUACUAUUCAGUGAGUCUUCUCAGUGCUCCCAUUACAUGGUUGUAGCACUGAGAUCUUAACCCAAGAUCUUGUGCAAUUGCACAGUUGAGUCAGUAUUAAAUGUGUAGAAGGGUUCCCACUUUCUGAACCCACACAUUCUUG
rnacentral:lncRNA from 1 species